rnacentral:lncRNA from 1 species
UAUAUUGUGUUUGGGACCCUAAGAUAAUAAUACAAAAGGUCUAGUUUAUACGUGAAACCUAUGUUGAGGAAUUUUAAGUUAAAAAUAUGUGAACUCAUCAGUUAAAAGUGAUCUUCCACGUGGACAAGUUGUGUUUUUGCUCAGUUUGUGUAUUUCUCAGUGUGUAUAGUUUAAUUAAUUAAAGUAAAAAAUGCCUCGUAAAAUUAGCAGAGAAACUCGUAGAACUUCCAGUGAACAGUUGUCUCGAAGAAAUAAACGGAAGAACGUUUUUAAUCCGAAAACCGUGGAAUAUGAUGAUAGCAGUUUGAUUAUGAGGCCUUACCACCUGAUGUUGCAACAGCUAUUUUUCCAAUUUACGAAGAUCUAAGUAACAAAAAAUUAUUGGAACGAUGCGUUGGUGGUUUUACCCAGAACAAUAAUGAAAGUUAUAAUCAGCUGAUAUGGAAAAUAACUCCAAAAAUUAUUCCAGCUGGCUCUAAAAUUGUGGAAAUAGCUGCAAACAUUGCAGCCGGGGUCUUUAAUGAAGGUAAAACAUCUCUUCUUUAUUAUAUGAGUGCUAUGGGAUUAUCACUUGGACCCAAUGCUCAUUCCUUCGUGAGUAAAGAGAACGCAGAGCGCAUCUCAAUUUCGGACGCAAGAGCGCAAGGGUCGACGCGCGAGGGGAGAAUGGCUCGUAGACAACAACAACUAAACAUUUUGGAUGCAAACGACGAAGUAGAGGGUUCCUCUUAUGGUGCUGGAAUAGAUGACACGAUAUAAUUUGGACCAGAGAUAUCUUGUACACCGCCAAGCACUUUUUUUUGGAGGUCUCUCCGCAGAUCAUCUACAGGAGCUAGGGGAUCCAAUAUUUUUUUAAAUAAAUUUCUGAUUGUUAAAGUACAUUAAAUUCUGUUUAAGUACAUUUUUUUCAUUAAUGUAUAAAAUUAAAUGCCUCUUUG